CCUACGGGAGGCAGCAGUGAGGAAUAUUGGUCAAUGGGCGGAAGCCUGAACCAGCCAAGUCGCGUGAGGGAUUAAGGCCCUGCGGGUCGUAAACCUCUUUUGCCGGGGAGCAGAGGUCCGGACGUGUCCGGGCCGGGAGAGUACCCGGAGAAAAAGCAUCGGCUAACUCCGAGCCAGCAGCCGCGGUAAUACGGAGGAUCCAAGCGUUAUCCGGAUUUCUUGGGUUUAAAGGGUGCGUAGGCGGUUUGAUAAGUUAGAGGUGAAAUGUCCGAGCUUAACUCGGGAACUGCCUCUCAUACUGUUGAUCUAGUGCGUAGCUGCGGUAGGCGGAAUGUAUGGUGUAGCGGUGAAAUGCUUAGCGUUCAUCCAGAACACCGAUUGCGCAGGCAGCUUACCAAUCUAUAUCUGACGUUGAGGCACGACAGCGUGGGGAGCAACCAGGAUUAGAUACCCCUGUAGUC
rnacentral:rRNA from 1 species